rnacentral:lncRNA from 1 species
UUGAGAAUUUAUACAUAUCUUGUCAAGAGGAGAUCGAUUCUUUGGAUAGAAAUUCUUGAAGGGUCAUUGUUUGGAGUUGGUUUGAGCUUAUCUCUUCUAGCAUAUAAGGUAUUUAUAGAUAUGGAAUAAAGGGAUGUUUCUCUUUAGGAUUAUGUAUGAGCAUCACUCAUCAAUGAUUUGAGUAAAAAUCAUUGAAUCAAAUCAUGGAAUGAUCAUAUACAUAUAUAUAAUAGUUAUAUAAAUUAUAAAGUCAAACAUUCAAAUGUCUCAUUUAUUUUUUAGAGAAAAGAAAAUGAGAAAGAUACUAUACCUUAAGCUUAUCAAUAUACUAUAUAUGCAAUUAAUAUCCUUUGUAUUUACCCAAUUUCAAGCACUUCCUUUGAAAGAAUCUCUCAACUAGGAUAAGUCUCCUUCAACCUAUAUUUCUUUAAUAAGAAAUUAGCUAGAAAGUAUGGGAUUUAGUAAUGAAUUAGAUGAUAUUAUUUGACUCACUCAAUAUAAUUUUUUUUAAUAUAUUUAUUGAAGCAAGUUGAAUAAUAUUAAAGAGGUAAAUACUAAUUACGAAUUUACUGUUCUAUGAUCGAAGCUAAAUCUUUAAUCAUAUCGAUAUCAUGAAACUCGUGAACUUCCGUUUUGGCCGGCUUUAAUUCUAGAGGUAAAAUAGAAGAUUUUCUCAUGGUAGGGUUGAGCAACCAAAGGUAGAAUGAUUAAAUGGGACAUAUAUAUGAGAACUGUUUGGGAGAAAAGAAAAAAGAAAAAAAAAAAAAGGAAAGAAGAAUACAUAAAAAUUUUCCCAUCAUUUUCUUUUCUCUUGUAUAUAAUAUGAAAAUUACUUCCCAUUUAUCCUAAAUGUUUAAACAAGUUUGUAAGAAUUGUAACAUGUCAUAAAAAAAAUUGAAAGAAAGGAAAAUUUUUGUUGUUCUUACAUUUGUUUCUUCUUCAUGGCUUGUUUAUUGUUGUGCAUCCAUACUUUGAAAACUUGUCGCUUAACUCCCACUUGUGAACAAAACAUCUGCAAUUCAUGUUCAUCUUGUUUUUGGAUUCUCCAUCCCAAUGUCUCAGCAAAUUCCAUCAUUUUUUCCUUUUGAUCUUGACUGAACUUUGUUCUAAAUCUCUUCUUUGAUGAUUGUGGAACAUUAAUAAGUUCAUCAUGUCUCAGAUCUUCACUCGAAGACUCCUCCGCCGUGCCACCACCGCCGCCGCCAAAGCUCAUCAUAACCGGCGCCGGAAACCUUACUGGUUGUUGUUGAAGAUGAACAACACCGUUCCUCCUUGGUAAUGGUGGUAGAUACUGUGAUUCACCAUUGAUUUCUUUCCUAUGAAAAUUCCUAUGGCAUUCACAAGCUGCACAUUUCAUGGCUGCCAUGGUACCUUCUUCUCCACUUGGCAUGAACUCACCACAACCAUCCACAACGUGUCCUCCCAUGGUGGCUGCAUGGUUCUUUAAACACUCCCUAUACCUAACCACGAGGCUUGAACCUACUGGUUCAGGCUCAGCACCAGCAACUGAACCAGGUGGCAGUGGAUCUAUAUUAGGGUAAUGGUUUAGGGUUUGGGGUGGCCUUGGAUUUGGGGUUUGUGAGCUUGACAAUGGCAAUGGCAACCCCAUUUCCUUAUCUUGGUCUCUCAGUUCCAUUUUUUGAUAUAUAUUUUUUUCUAAUGUAAAACCUAGAUCUAAGUCUUUGAUCCCAACAAACCCUUUAUUAAAAACUAAACAAAACUAUACUAUACUAUUAACUUAAAUAUGUUUUUUUUCAAACUCAUCAUCAUCAUUAUCAUGGAAAAAUAGAGUAUAAUCAGCAGCUAAUUAACCCCCUUCCCCCAAAAUUUAUGGUCUUUCCCCCCCCCCCACUUUUUAGUGCUAAACCCACCAAUUUUCAUUACCCUAAGAAACCUUCCAUUUUUCAUCAAGACGUAAGCAAAGUGUAAAGAGACAAAUGAAAAAUUUUGAGAUUUAAUGUUAUAAAAAUAAAGAGAAAAAAAAUGGGGCCCUUGUAGCUUGGUUCUAUGGUAGUAAAAGACCAAAACAAUGCAAAGGAACAAGUUUUUUUUUUUUAAAGCAUAGAUUAAGGUUGGGGAAACUCAAAAGCUUUGGAGCUUAAAAACUAUAAGCAUUAAGCAAAGGAAAUAUACAUACAUACACACACAUAUAUAUAUGUUUCUUACUUACCCAUCUAAGCUUGUAAAAUCCAUCUAUGUAAGGAACAGGUGAUGGACCACUAGAGAUUACUGGUGAAACUCAACUCAGUAUUUUUUUUCUUGCAGAACAACCGACAAGACCAUGUUAUGUUUCUCUCUUUCUCUCUCAGAGGCUGUACAUUGGUCCAGCUCUUAAU